GGGUAAAAUUAAUAAUUUAAGUUUAAUAAAAAAAAUUUUAAUAUUAAAAAGAAAUAAUGGGGGUUUGAGUAUUUUUAAUAGAAAAAAUUAAUAUAUUUAUAGUUAAUUAUUACUGUAAAGGAAUUUAUAAAUAAUUGAAAUUAAUUAAUAAAAAAGUAAAUUUAAUUUAUUGUAUCUUGUGUAUCAGAGUUUAUUAAAUAAUAAUAAUUUAUUUAAAUAAAUCUCGAAUUUAAAAGAGUUAAUUAAUUAUAAAAGUUAAUGUUGUAUAAUUAUUUUUAAUAAUUAAUUAGAAAUGAAAUGUUAAUCGUUUUUAAAUAUAUCUAGUUUUUUUAGAAAAAAAUUUAAUUUAAAAUUUAAAUAAUUUUAUAAUUUUUUAAUUAAUUAUGAAAAUUUAAAAUUUAAUAAUUUAGGGGAUAAGCUUUAAAUUAAAUUUUUAUAAUUAAAAUUAAUUUAAAAUUAAAAUUUUUAAUAUUUAUAUUGUUUAUAAAUUAUAGUUUAUUAUAAAAAAUUUUAAUUGUAAAUAAAAUUUAAAAAAAAAUUUAAUUUUUUAUAAAAGAAAUAAUUUAUAAUUAAAUAAAAUUAGGUAUAAUGAUAAAAUUAGUAUAAUAUUAUAAAUAAAAUUAAAUAUAUUAAUGAGAUAAAUUAAAGGAAUUCGGCAAAAUUUUAUAUUCACUUGUUUAUCAAAAACAUGUCUUUUUGUUAAUAAUUUAAAGUCUAAUCUGCCCACUGAUAAUUAAUAUUAAAGGGCUGCAGUAUAUUGACUGUACAAAGGUAGCAUAAUCAUUAGUCUUUUAAUUGAAGACUUGUAUGAAAGAUUUGAUGAAAUAUAAACUGUCUCUGAUUUAAUAAUAGAAAUUAAUUUUUUAGUUAAAAAGCUAAAAUAUAAUUAAAAGACGAGAAGACCCUAUAGAGUUUUAUAUUUUAUUUAUUUUAUAUUUAUUAUAUAAAUAAUUAUAUAAAAUAAUUAAAAUAUUUUGUUGGGGUGAUAGAAAAAUUUAAAAAACUUUUUUUAUUUUUUUACAUAAAUAAGUGAUUAAUUGAUCCAUUAUUAGUGAUUAAAAGAAAAAAUUACCUUAGGGAUAACAGCGUAAUUUUUUUUUUUAGUACAUAUAAGAAAAAAAGUUUGCGACCUCGAUGUUGGAUUAAGAUAAAAUUUAAAUGCAAAAGUUUAAAAUUUUGAUCUGUUCGAUCAUUAAAAUCUUACAUGAUCUGAGUUCAAACCGGUGUAAGCCAGGUUGGUUUCUAUCUUUAAUAAAUAUAAAUAUUUUAGUACGAAAGGAUCAAAUAUUUAAAAUAGUUUUAUUUUUGUUGAAUUUUAUUAAUUUUUUGUUAU
rnacentral:rRNA from 1 species